rnacentral:rRNA from 1 species
GAUGAACUCUGGCGGCGUGCCUAAUACAUGCAAGUCGAGCGAACAGACGAGGAGCUUGCUCCUCUGACGUUAGCGGCGGACGGGUGAGUAACACGUGGAUAACCUACCUAUAAGACUGGGAUAACUUCGGGAAACCGGAGCUAAUACCGGAUAAUAUAUUGAACCGCAUGGUUCAAUAGUGAAAGACGGUUUUGCUGUCACUUAUAGAUGGAUCCGCGCCGCAUUAGCUAGUUGGUAAGGUAACGGCUUACCAAGGCAACGAUGCGUAGCCGACCUGAGAGGGUGAUCGGCCACACUGGAACGGAGACACGGUCCAGACUCCUGCGGGAGGCAGCAGUAGGGAAUCUUCCGCAAUGGGCGAAAGCCUGACGGAGCAACGCCGCGUGAGUGAUGAAGGUCUUCGGAUCGUAAAACUCUGUUAUUAGGGAAGAACAAAUGUGUAAGUAACUAUGCACGUCUUGACGGUACCUAAUCAGAAAGCCACGGCUAACUACGUG